CAUCGCGAUGCUUCUCCAUCAAGGAGCAUCGUGAUGAGGAUACUGUCGAAGCGUCAGCUGAAGGAGCUGGUUCUGUACUCGCCACAACACGUCGCACGGCUGGAGAAGGCCGGGAAGUUCCCCAAGCGGGUCCAGAUCGGCCCCAACAGAGUGGGAUGGGUUGAGGACGAGGUGCUCGACUGGCUUCAGGAACGGCUGAACCGCCGGGACGAACCUGUCCGACACUCCUGAAUGCAGGAGCUGGGCGGCCGGGCGUGCACAGCCC
rfam:Rhizobiales bacterium NRL2, complete genome.